ACGCUGGCGGCAUGCUUUACACAUGCAAGUCGGACGGCAGCAUAGAAAGAGCUUGCUCUUUUGAUGGCGAGUGGCGAACGGGUGAGUAAUGCAUCGGAACGUACCGAGUAGUGGGGGAUAACUGUCCGAAAGGAUGGCUAAUACCGCAUAUUCUCUGAGGAGGAAAGCAGGGGACCUUAGGGCCUUGCGCUAUUUGAGCGGCCGAUGUCUGAUUAGCUAGUUGGUGGGGUAAGAGCCCACCAAGGCGACGAUCAGUAGCGGGUCUGAGAGGAUGAUCCGCCACACUGGGACUGAGACACGGCCCAGACUCCUACGGGAGGCAGCAGUGGGGAAUUUUGGACAAUGGGCGCAAGCCUGAUCCAGCCAUGCCGCGUGUAUGAAGAAGGCCUUCGGGUUGUAAAGUACUUUUGUCAGGGAAGAAAAGCCUGGGGAUAACACCCUCGGGUCAUGACGGUACCUGAAGAAUAAGCACCGGCUAACUACGUGCCAGCAGCCGCGGUAAUACGUAGGGUGCGAGCGUUAAUCGGAAUUACUGGGCGUAAAGCGAGCGCAGACGGUUAUUUAAGCAAGAUGUGAAAGCCCCGGGCUCAACCUGGGAACUGCGUUUUGAACUGGGUAACUAGAGUGUGUCAGAGGGGGGUAGAAUUCCACGUGUAGCAGUGAAAUGCGUAGAGAUGUGGAGGAAUACCGAUGGCGAAGGCAGCCCCCUGGGAUAACACUGACGUUCAUGCUCGAAAGCGUGGGUAGCAAACAGGAUUAGAUACCCUGGUAGUCCACGCCCUAAACGAUGUCAAUUAGCUGUUGGGGUACAUGAUGCCUUAGUAGCGUAGCUAACGCGUGAAAUUGACCGCCUGGGGAGUACGGUCGCAAGAUUAAAACUCAAAGGAAUUGACGGGGACCCGCACAAGCGGUGGAUGAUGUGGAUUAAUUCGAUGCAACGCGAAGAACCUUACCUGGUCUUGACAUGUACGGAAUCUCUUAGAGAUAGGAGAGUGCCUUCGGGAGCCGUAACACAGGUGCUGCAUGGCUGUCGUCAGCUCGUGUCGUGAGAUGUUGGGUUAAGUCCCGCAACGAGCGCAACCCUUGCCAUUAGUUGCCAUCAUUAAGUUGGGCACUCUAAUGGGACUGCCGGUGACAAACCGGAGGAAGGUGGGGAUGACGUCAAGUCCUCAUGGCCCUUAUGACCAGGGCUUCACACGUCAUACAAUGGUCGGUACAGAGGGUAGCCAAGCCGCGAGGUGGAGCCAAUCCCAGAAAACCGAUCGUAGUCCGGAUUGCACUCUGCAACUCGAGUGCAUGAAGUCGGAAUCGCUAGUAAUCGCAGGUCAGCAUACUGCGGUGAAUACGUUCCCGGGUCUUGUACACACCGCCCGUCACACCAUGGGAGUGGGGGAUACCAGAAUUGGGUAGGGU
rnacentral:rRNA from 1 species